UACGGAGGAUCCAAGCGUUAUCCGGAUUUAUUGGGUUUCAAGGGUGCGUAGGCGGCUUAUUAAGUCAGGGGUGAAAGACGGUGGCUCAACCAUCGCAGUGCCCUUGAUACUGAUGAGCUUGAAUACACUUGAGGUAGGCGGAAUGUGACAAGUAGCGGUGAAAUGCAUAGAUAUGUCACAGAACACCAAUUGCGAAGGCAGCUUACUAAGGUGCAAUUGACGCUGAGGCACGAAAGCGUGGGGAUCAAACAGG
rnacentral:rRNA from 1 species